rnacentral:rRNA from 1 species
UGUUGAUCCUGCCAGUAUUAUAUGCUUGUCUCAAAGAUUAAGCCAUGCAUGUCUAAGUAUAAGCAAUUUAUACAGUGAAACUGCGAAUGGCUCAUUAAAUCAGUUAUCGUUUAUUUGAUAGUUCCUUUACUACAUGGUAUAACUGUGGUAAUUCUAGAGCUAAUAUAUGCUUAAAAUCUCGACCCUUUGGAAGAGAUGUAUUUAUUAGAUAAAAAAUCAAUGUCUUCGGACUCUUUGAUGAUUCAUAAUAACUUUUCGAAUCGCAUGGCCUUGUGCUGGCGAUGGUUCAUUCAAAUUUCUGCCCUAUCAACUUUCGAUGGUAGGAUAGUGGCCUACCAUGGUUUCAACGGGUAACGGGGAAUAAGGGUUCGAUUCCGGAGAGGGAGCCUGAGAAACGGCUACCACAUCCAAGGAAGGCAGCAGGCGCGCAAAUUACCCAAUCCUAAUUCAGGGAGGUAGUGACAAUAAAUAACGAUACAGGGCCCAUUCGGGUCUUGUAAUUGGAAUGAGUACAAUGUAAAUACCUUAACGAGGAACAAUUGGAGGGCAAGUCUGGUGCCAGCAGCCGCGGUAAUUCCAGCUCCAAUAGUG